ACCAUUUUGGAUAGUGUCUGGGACGCACGAACAAAACGCCGCUAUUCGGAUAUAACGAUGGAUUAUUUUGGACCAAACCAACAUUUGUUAUUGAAGUAGCAGUCCUGGGAGUGCAUUCUGACGAAGACAACAAAAGAGGACCUGAGCCCUAGGACCAUGCCUCAGGACUACCUGACAUGAUGACUCCUUGCUGUCCCCAGUCCACCUGGCCGUGCUGCUGCUCCAGUUUCAACUGUUCUGCCUGCGGCUAUGGAACCCUGACCUGUUCACCGGACGUGCUUCCUGUCCCAGACCUGCUGUUUUCAACUCUCUAGAGACAGCAGGAGCGGUAGAGAUACUCUCAAUGAUCGGCUAUGAAAAGCCAACUUACAUUUACUCUUGAGGUGCUGACUUGUUGCACCCUCAACAACUGUGAUUAUUAUUAUUUGACCAUGCUGGUCAUUUAUGAACAUUUGAACAUCUUGGCCAUGUUCUGUUAUAAUCUCCACCCGGCACAACCAGAAGAGGACUGGCCACCCCUCAUAGCCUGGUUCCUCUCUAGGUUUCUUCCUAGGUUUUGGCCUUUCUAGGGAGUUUUUCCUAGCCACCGUGCUUCUACACCUGCAUUGCUUGCUGUUUGGGGUUUUAGGCUGGGUUUCUGUACAGCACUUUGAGAUAUCAGCUGAUGUAAGAAGGGCUAUAUAAAUAAAUUUGAUUUGAUUUGAAGCAUUUUUAAUGGACUAGUAAAUUGUGUAUUCAUUACUCCAUUCGUAAGAUGUUUAAUAUAGGUCUUUAUAACCCAUUUACUAAUCAUUAGUUAAGUAUUUUUGCAUGGGCUAUUUAUACUUUAGAAAUACUUUAGAAAUUAUUUGAGUGACCAGUGCAAUUUCUCGCAAAAAAGAUGGACAUACCAUUGGUAGACAUUCCAGCAGUACCUGAUGCUCCUGAAAGGAC
rnacentral:lncRNA from 1 species